CCCAGAGUGACUCAAUUCAGGAGUUUGGCUUUUCGUAAAGCCCAAGAAAACGGAUAUGGUAUAAAGGAAAGUUUAUAAUCGCAUCGAAUAUGGAAUUCCAGCACCGCGAAACUAAUCGCGGUACACGACGCAACACUUGAUGACAACGGCUUCAUUUUUCUCUAACCAUCAUGGCACUCUGAACUACACCUAAAGGGAACUAACUUCUUAAAUUCAUCUGGGAAAGUCUAUCUAUGAGUGAUUUCAGUGAGCGAACGUUACAGCAAAGAAGGACGUGUUUCAAGAGGUUCAUAAAAUAGCUAAUGUGUCAUCACAACAGCCUUGUCUCUGGCAUCAGGGAAUCCCUUCACAUCCGACGCACCCAAGACGAUUGGCACCCUCAUGACUGGAUGAACUAGGAAACGUCAUUGAAGCAAUAAACCUAAAACCAAGUUCAUUUUUUGCAAAGAUUUUAUAAGCUUUUCAAAAUCCAAGUGCCACUCAAAUCCGUAAUACUAAAAAAAUUC